ACAAAAGUUAGGGGACGAAUUUUUCUUCGUCAAAGAAGAAAGAAAGUCAGCGAAGCAACUCUAUAAAACUCAUCAUUCAGCAAAAAAAUAUACACAUAUCAUUUUACAAAGUUCACUUGUAAAAUCCACAAAGUUUCAAAUAACUAAAUAAAAAAAUAAUGUAUCACCGCUUGGUUUGCUUAGUUACUUUGAUUAUUCUAUUGUUCACUGGAUCAUCAACCACAGCUUUCGCUCGGAUACCUUACCAAUCAUCCAUGACAAAAUAUGGAGAAAUGGUUUGGGAUCAAAAGAUGAUUGGAAAUAUCAAGAUCGACGUAGGAAGCAGUAAUUCAAGGCCAGCACGUCAAAAAGAUAGCCCAAGUCCGCCAGGCGCCAACAUGUAGCUUUCUUGGACAACUGAAAGUUGGAUGUGUUGUUCCACAGAAUCUAUUUUGGCUAAACGAAAAUAUAUCAGAUUUACGCUUUGUUUACAUACGCAGUACAAAAGUAUGACGUUUAAGUUGUUAACAUUGUGGUCAGAAUUUAUGCCUUUGCUAUAAGAAAACAUGUGCAACGAAAUUUAUUUUCUUUUGUAUAAACAAUAUCAAGAUUUAGUAAAACAAA